CGUUCGGGAAGUCGAGUGUCCCAUUUUAGUUCCAGACACUCGAUGACCAAGUCCCGCUGUCUCCUUUCAUGCGACCAAGAUGGCCUCCGUUUUCUCCCGCACGUGGCUUUCAGCUAUACGAACGGCGACCACUCAUGGAGAGCCCUUAAUUUGCGGUCUUCUUUGAAGUUAAUGAGCCAAGGGGGUGGUCGGUGUUCGGUAGUUU